rnacentral:rRNA from 1 species
GACGAACGCUGGCGGCGUGCCUAAUACAUGCAAGUCGAGCGAAUCACUAGGAGCUUGCUCCUGGUGGUUAGCGGCGGACGGGUGAGUAACACGUGGGCAACCUGCCUGUAAGACUGGGAUAACACCGGGAAACCGGUGCUAAUACCGGAUAAUCCUUUUCCUCUCAUGAGGAAAAGCUGAAAGUCGGUUUCGGCUGACACUUACAGAUGGGCCCGCGGCGCAUUAGCUAGUUGGUGAGGUAACGGCUCACCAAGGCGACGAUGCGUAGCCGACCUGAGGGGGUGAUCGGCCACACUGGGACUGAGACACGGCCCAGACUCCUACGGGAGGCAGCAGUAGGGAAUCUUCCACAAUGGACGAAAGUCUGAUGGAGCAACGCCGCGUGAGCGAUGAAGGCCUUCGGGUCGUAAAGCUCUGUUGUUAGGGAAGAACAAGUACUGGAGUAACUGCCGGUACCUUGACGGUACCUAACCAGAAAGCCACGGCUAACUACGUGCCAGCCGCCGCCGUAAGAC